rnacentral:rRNA from 1 species
GUAGGUGGCAAGCGUUAUCCGGAAUUAUUGGGCGUAAAGCGCACGCAGGCGGUUUCUUAAGUCUGAUGUGAAAGCCCACGGCUCAACCGUGGAGGGUCAUUGGAAACUGGGGAACUUGAGUGCAGAAGAGGAAAGCGGAAUUCCACGUGUAGCGGUGAAAUGCGUAGAGAUGUGGAGGAACACCAGUGGCGGAGGCGGCUUUUUGGUCUGUAACUGACGCUGAGGCGCGAAAGCGUGGGGAGCAAACAGGAUUAGAUACCCUGGUAGUCCACGCCGUAAACGAUGAGUGCUAAGUGUUAGGGGGUUUCCGCCCCUUAGUGCUGCAGCUAACGCAUUAAGCACUCCGCCUGGGGAGUACGACCGCAAGGUUG